rnacentral:rRNA from 1 species
UACGUAGGGUGCAAGCGUUAAUCGGAAUUACUGGGCGUAAAGCGUGCGCAGGCGGUUGUGCAAGACAGAUGUGAAAUCCCCGGGCUCAACCUGGGAAUUGCAUUUGUGACUGCACGGCUAGAGUGUGUCAGAGGGGGGUAGAAUUCCACGUGUAGCAGUGAAAUGCGUAGAGAUGUGGAGGAAUACCGAUGGCGAAGGCAGCCCCCUGGGAUAACACUGACGCUCAUGCAACGAAAGCGUGGGGAGCAAACAGG